rnacentral:rRNA from 1 species
CUUAGAAGCAGCCAUCAUUUAAAGAAAGCGUAAUAGCUCACUGGUCGAGUCGGCCUGCGCGGAAGAUGUAACGGGGCUAAACCAUGCACCGAAGCUGCGGCAGCGACACUGUGUGUUGUUGGGUAGGGGAGCGUUCUGUAAGCCUGUGAAGGUGUGUCGUGAGGCAUGCUGGAGGUAUCAGAAGUGCGAAUGCUGACAUAAGUAACGAUAAAGCGGGUGAAAAGCCCGCUCGCCGGAAGACCAAGGGUUCCUGUCCAACGUUAAUCGGGGCAGGGUGAGUCGACCCCUAAGGCGAGGCCGAAAGGCGUAGUCGAUGGGAAACGGGUUAAUAUUCCCGUACUUGGUGUUACUGCGAAGGGGGGACGGAGAAGGCUAUGUUGGCCGGGCGACGGUUGUCCCGGUUUAAGCGUGUAGGUGUGUGUUCCAGGUAAAUCCGGUUCACUUUAACACUGAGGCGUGACGACGAGGCACUACGGUGCUGAAGCAACAAAUGCCCUGCUUCCAGGAAAAGCCUCUAAGCAUCAGGUAACAUCAAAUCGUACCCCAAACCGACACAGGUGGUCAGGUAGAGAAUACCAAGGCGCUUGAGAGAACUCGGGUGAAGGAACUAGGCAAAAUGGUGCCGUAACUUCGGGAGAAGGCACGCUGACACGUAGGUGAAGUGAUUUACUCAUGGAGCUGAAGUCAGUCGAAGAUACCAGCUGGCUGCAACUGUUUAUUAAAAACACAGCACUGUGCAAACACGAAAGUGGACGUAUACGGUGUGACGCCUGCCCGGUGCCGGAAGGUUAAUUGAUGGGGUCAGCGCAAGCGAAGCUCCUGAUCGAAGCCCCGGUAAACGGCGGCCGUAACUAUAACGGUCCUAAGGUAGCGAAAUUCCUUGUCGGGUAAGUUCCGACCUGCACGAAUGGCGUAAUGAUGGCCAGGCUGUCUCCACCCGAGACUCAGUGAAAUUGAACUCGCUGUGAAGAUGCAGUGUACCCGCGGCAAGACGGAAAGACCCCGUGAACCUUUACUAUAGCUUGACACUGAACAUUGAGCCUUGAUGUGUAGGAUAGGUGGGAGGCUUUGAAGUGUGGACGCCAGUCUGCAUGGAGCCGACCUUGAAAUACCACCCUUUAAUGUUUGAUGUUCUAACGUGGACCCGUUACCCGGGUUGCGGACAGUGUCUGGUGGGUAGUUUGACUGGGGCGGUCUCCUCC